GACAUCUGGUGGCGAGGAGUUGUUGUUGUUGUUGUUGCUGGCGCCUCCCCUAGGUCGACUUCGGCGUUAAAUGGCUGUGCUUGCGCGCGGCAAGAUGAUAGCUACCUCGCCUGGCAGGAGAGGUUCGUCCACCAGGAGGCGUUGGGACGCCACUCGACCAAGCAGAUGGAGAUUUUACUGGCUCGGCUCUGGUCGUCUUCACACACGAGGAGCAGUCGAAACGCGAGCUUGGGAGGCGCAUUGUCGGAGACAUUCUAGAAGACGCUGGUGACGAACACGCGUCUGGUACGGCGGAAA